AGGGCCCCCCCCCGAGUGGGGCCCGCCGCCUUAUUUUACCCCCCCCCGGAAAACCUCCCCCGCCCCGACCCCGUAAGGAUUGACCGAUUGGGAGCCCCUCCUCGAUCCCGUGGGGGGGGGUGCCUGGGCCCUUCCUAGUUUGUGGAAGCGAUUUUCCGGUUUAUUCCCAUAACCAACCAGACCCUUGCCUGGCUAAAACCCAAUUAUUCGCCCACCCCCCGUUGGUUUUUUUUCCUUCAACAUAAAAAACACCCCCCCCCCCAAUUUUUCUUUCCCCCUUUUACCCGCCAGGGUCCCCAAACCCCAGGGCGGGAAAUUCCCGGUCCCCGGGGGGGUUUUUUUAAAUUUUUUGAAAGUGGAACACCCUCCCGAACCCGGGGGGGGCCAAACCCCUUUUCCCCGGGGGGGGAAAAAACCCCCAAAAAAAGGGGGGGGCCCUUUUUAGGGGGGUUUUUCCCCCCGGGGGGGGGGGGAAAAAAAAUUUUAGGGGGGGUUUUUCCCCAAAAAAGCCCUGGGAAA
rnacentral:rRNA from 1 species